ACUGAACGCUGGCGGCAGGCCUAACACAUGCAAGUCGAACGGUAACAGGAAGAAGCUUGCUGCUUUGCUGACGAGUGGCGGACGGGUGAGUAAUGUCUGGGAAACUGACUGAUGGAGGGGGAUAACUAAUGGAAACGGUAGCUAAUACCGCAUAAUGUCGCAAGACCAAAGAGGGGGACCUUCGGGCCUCUUGCCAUCGGAUGUGCCCAGAUGGGAUUAGCUAGUAGGUGGGGUAACGGCUCACCUAGGCGACGAUCCCUAGCUGGUCUGAGAGGAUGAACAGUCACACUGGAACUGAGACACGGUCCAGACUCCUACGGGAGGCAGCAGUGGGGAAUAUUGCACAAUGGGCGCAAGCCUGAUGCAGCUAUGCCGCGUGUAUGAAGAAGGCCUUCGGGUUGUAAAGUACUUUCAGCGGGGAGGAAGGGAAUAAAGUUAAUACCUUUGCGCAUUGACGUUACCCGCAGAAGAAGCACCGGCUAACUCCGUG
rnacentral:rRNA from 1 species